rnacentral:lncRNA from 10 species
CGCGUAGGACAAGGCAGGAGGAGGGCGGCCCUUAUCGGUUCCCUAUAGGACUGGCUUCGCUGCCGGGGUCGGAGAUUCCUCGGCGCGGAGCUAGGGGCGGGUCCGGAGGCGGAGGCGACAGCGCCCGGCGGGGUACGCGCGGCUGCGACCCCGUCACUCCCCCGCCGCCUCCGCCCCUAACCCUCGGCCCCGUGCGCGAGCGAGCGAGGGAGCGAACGCAGCGCAACAAAACAAACUAGUGCCGGCUUCCUGUUGUGCAACUCGCUCCUGAGUGAGUCGGGGGCCGAAAGGGUGCUGCGGCUGGGAAGCCCGGGCGCCGGGGACCUGCGCGCGCUGCCCGGCCUGGCCGGAGCCUGUAGCCCGGGGGCGCCACGGCCGGGCUCGCAGUCCCCCCACGCCGGCCCCCCGGUCCCCGCCGAGCCAGUGUCCUCACCCUGUGGUUUCCUUUCGCUUCUCGCCUCCCAAACACCUCCAGCAAGUCGGAGGGCGCGAACGCGGAGCCAGAAACCCUUCCCCAAAGUUUCUCCCGCCAGGUACCUAAUUGAAUCAUCCAUAGGAUGACAAAUCAGCCAGGGCCAAGAUUUCCAGACACUUGAGUGACUUCCCGGUCCCCGAGGUGACUUGUCAGCUCCAGUGAGUAACUUGGAACUGUCGCUCGGGGCAAGGUGUGUGUCUAGGAGAGAGCCGGCGGCUCACUCACGCUUUCCAGAGAGCGACCCGGGCCGACUUCAAAAUACACACAGGGUCAUUUAUAGGGACUGGAGCCGCGCGCAGGACAACGUCUCCGAGACUGAGACAUUUUCCAAACAGUGCUGACAUUUUGUCGGGCCCCAUAAAAAAUGUAAACGCGAGGUGACGAACCCGGCGGGGAGGGUUCGUGUCUGGCUGUGUCUGCGUCCUGGCGGCGUGGGAGGUUAUAGUUCCAGACCUGGCGGCUGCGGAUCGCCGGGCCGGUACCCGCGAGGAGUGUAGGUACCCUCAGCCCGACCACCUCCCGCAAUCAUGGGGACACCGGCUUGGAUGAGACACAGGCGUGGAAAACAGCCUUCGUGAAACUCCACAAACACGUGGAACUUGAAAAGACAACUACAGCCCCGCGUGUGCGCGAGAGACCUCACGUCACCCCAUCAGUUCCCACUUCGCCAAAGUUUCCCUUCAGUGGGGACUCCAGAGUGGUGCGCCCCAUGCCCGUGCGUCCUGUAACGUGCCCUGAUUGUGUACCCCUCUGCCCGCUCUACUUGAAAUGAAAACACAAAAACUGUUCCGAAUUAGCGCAACUUUAAAGCCCCGUUAUCUGUCUUCUACACUGGGCGCUCUUAGGCCACUGACAGAAACAUGGUUUGAACCCUAAUUGUUGCUAUCAGUCUCAGUCAGCGCAGGUCUCUCAGUGACCUGUGACGCCGGGAGUUGAGGUGCGCGUAUCCUUAAACCCGCGCGAACGCCACCGGCUCAGCGUAGAAAACUAUUUGUAAUCCCUAGUUUGCGUCUCUGAGCUUUAACUCCCCCACACUCUCAAGCGCCCGGUUUCUCCUCGUCUCUCGCCUGCGAGCAAAGUUCCUAUGGCAUCCACUUACCAGGAAGAAAAUUCAAAGACUUUAUGCAAUGCUUAGAAUAAGGAGGAGAGCCUGUCUGCGCCCUGCUCCAGUGACCCUCUCCUGUCUGACACCCACUACUAAACCAGGUCAGUUGCAUCAUACCCUGAAUUCUAGCCUCAAAAUAAAAAUAUAUACUAAAUAAUGGGGAGAAAAGGGAAGAAAAGAAAUGGAAAAUAGGGAACGAGGGUGCAGAGAAGAAGGUGAAUUAUUUAAAAACUAGUGGAAAUGAAGAAGGCAGCGCAGCACUGAUACCUCAGAAUAAUUGAGAGCAACUAGUUAGUUUGGGGCAGAAUUAAGCUCUGGAACAAAAGCAAUUCAGUGGCUUUUCAGACUCCUCCCCAACUCACCUCAAGUCUUAAAUAUACCUGCAAAGGGGUUUGAAAAAACUUGGAGAUUUUCCACAAAUCCUAACUUCUUACGAUGUUAAAAGCACUCAGGAGAUUUUCACGUGUAUACACAUUUCUUUUCUUGUUUAACCCUAUACAGCAGGGAAGAGUGUAAUUUUAUUGUCCAUGGAACAAAUGACCAAUUGCCCCCAAAGCAGACCUGCCCCGGGUAAGAGUGUUGACUUCCUUCAGGCUGGGGACACUGCCCCAAGCUCAUGAUCUACAUUUUUUUUCACUUCAUUCUCACAACAUCCGAAUCAGGUAAGAUCUAGCACAACUUCCAUUUUACAGAUGAGAAAAGAGAGGCAGAGAGAGGUGGAAUAUCUCCCCACUGUCACCCAACUCAUGUGGGACUAGCCAAACUUCUACCUAUUAACCAUUGCUCUAUUACCUUUUCAGGGCAGGAAACCCUACUUCCACCAGACAUGUAUUUGUUUAUUCACUCAGGCAGGUGGUAUGUUGGAAGAAGAGUGGACUUUGGAAUCAGAAAACCUGGAAUCCCAACUUCACCGCUAACCGAGAGACCUUGAGCUGGUUCCUAAACCACGGGGAACUUCAGUUCCACUACAUGAGUUAUUGCAAAGGUUGAAUCGGAAUUGUGACACUGGCCAGCACACGUGUGAAACCAGGGGCAUCCCCUAUUGAUAAGGAGCCCAGCCCAAGAGCUUCAAGGGAAAUUGACCCCAGCCCCAGCUCCACUGAUGGGCUCGAUGAUUCAGAGAGGAAUCUCACUCCCUUGGUCAAAGUGAAUGGCUCAUAAAUCUGGGCCUAAGUCAAUCCGUGCAAGACAUUCCCCUGGCCAUAGGGAUUGGUUAAAAAAUGGACAUGUAACCCAGUUUGGGCUAAAUGAGAUGUGAACAGGAAAGUUAUUUGAUAGCUUCUGAGGAAGGUAGCUUCUCUUCUUUCUAGAGAGCCACUGGAAAGGUAGCCUUUUCUCCUCUGUGUUGUGGAGAGAAAAAAAAAGUGAAACUGUCUCCCUCUCAGCCCACACAGAAGGCUCACACUUGGUGAAGGGAAGGGUGGAGAAGAUUACAGAGAAUAGCCCUGAUGGAACCACACCUGAUUUCUACCUGACCUCUUAAUUUUUUCAUUUGUACAAGUCAGUAAAUGCCUUUUAAUUUUUAAACAAAUAAUUACAGCAACUUAUAGAGGUACCUAAGGUAUUAAGUUACCAUCAUGAAUACAAAGAUAAGCAAGACAAACUUCAAGGGGCUCACCACCUAAUAAAUAUUAUACUUUGCUUUUAUGACAUCAUUUUAGUCUUUUUUGUUGUUUUUUGUUUUUGUUUCUAAAUAGGAUCUUGCUUUAUCACCCAAACUGUAAUGCAGUGGUGUGAUCAUAGCUCACUACAGCCCCGACCUCCUGGGCUCAAGUGAUCCUCUUGCCUCAGCCUCCUAAGGAGCUGGGACUACAGUUGGCCUAUUUUUUUUUUCUUCACAUGACAUCAGGAGAUCAUCAUUGCAACAAGCAACUCAGCUUAGAAGCGCUGGGAUAACUCCGAAAGAGACAUGUGAGACAAGAUGUAGAACUUUGUAUUAGAGUACAAUAAAAUUUAUAAUGCAC